CUUUCUUUCUUGCAGGGUUCUGAUCCGUGCCUUUCUGUGGGGCUCCUAAGCUGGUUUACAGUAGCUGUGUCUGCUCUGCCCCUCCUCGUGCUGCCUUCCAGUUGUUCUCUGAGGGGAGCGAAGGGGUUAUCAGCCUUUUUCUGAAGCGGUCAUGGCGGGACUGAUGCUUGUUCCUUUCUUUUGCUCCCAUCUGUUUCUGGAACGCUUCCGUCAGCCCCAAGGUUUCCUUUGCUGCUCUUGUUCAGCUCAGUGCCUUCCCGUGAAGUCUCUGUUCCCUCUUUCAUGGUUCUCGUUGCGGAAUCUCCACCCUGGGACUCCAAACUGGACAGACGGAAGGCUUUCUGGGGCUGCUCUGGUUUGUGCUUUAAGUUCUGCGCAAUCUGUGGAGCAGACAGUGGAACACAAUGAAGCCCUCGUUUGUGCGUCGCUGGUA